CCUACGGGUGGCAGCAGUGAGGAAUAUUGGUCAAUGGACGAGAGUCUGAACCAGCCAAGUAGCGUGAAGGAUGACUGCUCUAUGGGUUGUAAACUUCUUUUAUAAAGGAAUAAAACGAGCCACGUGUGCAUAUUUGCAUGUACUCUAUGAAUAAGGAUCGGCUAACUCCGUGCCAGCAGCCGCGGUAAUACGGAGGAUCCAAGCGUUAUCCGGAUUUACUGGGUGUAAAGGGUGCGUAGACGGUUCUUCAAGUCUGGGGUGAAAUGCCGUAGCUUAACUGUGGAACUGCUUUUGAAACUGGAGGACUAGAGUGCGGUUGGGGUAAGCGGAAUGCGUAGUGUAGCGGUGAAAUGCGUAGAUAUUACGAAGAACACCGGUGGCGAAGGCAGCUUACUAGGCCGUAACUGACGUUGAGGCUCGAAAGCGUGGGGAGCAAACAGGAUUAGAUACCCUUGUAGUC
rnacentral:rRNA from 1 species